rnacentral:rRNA from 1 species
GGGUGAGUAACGCGUAGGUAACCUGCCUUGUAGCGGGGGAUAACUAUUGGAAACGAUAGCUAAUACCGCAUAACAAUGGAUGACACAUGUCAUUUAUUUGAAAGGGGCAAUUGCUCCACUACAAGAUGGACCUGCGUUGUAUUAGCUAGUAGGUGAGGUAACGGCUCACCUAGGCGACGAUACAUAGCCGACCUGAGAGGGUGAUCGGCCACACUGGGAAGGAGAAAAGGAAAAGAAUAC